GGCCAUCUUGUCUUCACAACUUCCUUUAAACGGUUUCAGGUUUGGGAACAGCCUGUUGACAUCAGGAAUAUGGUUCCCCUCUUCACCAGGGUCUUGUGAUGACGUCAUAAGGAUUGUGACAGCGGAAGUUCCCUGACGUCAGGCCUUGCGCGAAGGAGGUCCUAGCAGCCGGGCGCUGCUAAAGCAGUCCUCGCCUCCACCUCUGAGACAAAGGACCAUGCGGGAAGAAUGAAGUCUACAUUUGUCCAGACUGGCAGAAGAAGUGCGUUUGAUCUCUGAAUUUGUGGGCUGAAGACACCACAGUUUAAGAAUUUGUGUAGAGAAUAAGCACACAUCCAAUGAAAAUAUUUGACUACGUUAUGAGUGGUUAACCUGAAGGAAAAGCCAUUUCUCUUGAUGUCAAGAACAGACUGAUGGAAAGAUUCUCCAGAGUGUUGUGAGUGUCCCAGUGGUCUCCAUGUCUUCACCAAUGCUUGGAAUUGUCAGAAAAUGUUGAUCUUUGUGAAACUAUUGUCACUUCUUCCCUUUACAUUAAAUUAAUUUUUUAAAAAGCGAAUCUACA